GAGUUUGAUCCUGGCUCAGGAUGAACGCUGGCGGCGUGCUUAACACAUGCAAGUCGAACGAAGCACUUAUCUUUGAUUCUUCGGAUGAAGAGGUUUGUGACUGAGUGGCGGACGGGUGAGUAACGCGUGGGUAACCUGCCUCAUACAGGGGGAUAACAGUUAGAAAUGACUGCUAAUACCGCAUAAGACCACGGAGCCGCAUGGCUCAGUGGGAAAAACUCCGGUGGUAUGAGAUGGACCCGCGUCUGAUUAGGUAGUUGGUGGGGUAACGGCCUACCAAGCCAACGAUCAGUAGCCGACCUGAGAGGGUGACCGGCCACAUUGGGACUGAGACACGGCCCAAACUCCUACGGGAGGCAGCAGUGGGGAAUAUUGCACAAUGGGGGAAACCCUGAUGCAGCGACGCCGCGUGAGCGAAGAAGUAUUUCGGUAUGUAAAGCUCUAUCAGCAGGGAAGAAAAUGACGGUACCUGACUAAGAAGCACCGGCUAAAUACGUGCCAGCCGCCGCGGUAAUUC
rnacentral:rRNA from 1 species